rnacentral:rRNA from 1 species
GACGAACGCUGGCGGCGUGCUUAACACAUGCAAGUCGAACGGUGAAGCGCCUUCCUUUUUGGUGGGUGUGGAUGAGUGGCGAAUGGGUGAGUAACACGUGAGUAACCUGCCCCCUUCUUCUGGAUAACCGCAUGAAAGUGUGGCUAAUACGGGAUAUUCUGGGUCUGUCGCAUGAUGGGUCUGGGAAAGAUAUUGUUUCGGUGGGGGAUGGGCUCGCGGCCUAUCAGCUUGUUGGUGGGGUGAUGGCCUACCAAGGCGGUGACGGGUAGCCGGCCUGAGAGGGUGGACGGUCACACUGGGACUGAGACACGGCGCAGACUCCUACGGGAGGCAGCAGUGGGGAAUAUUGCACAAUGGGCGCAAGCCUGAUGCAGCGACGCCGCGUGAGGGAUGGAGGCCUUCGGGUUGUGAACCUCUUUCGCCAGUGAAGCAGGCCUGCCUCGUUUGUGGGUGGGUUGACGGUAGCUGGAUAAGAAGCGCCGGCUAACUACGUG